rnacentral:rRNA from 1 species
GGGCGUUAAGUUGCAGGGUAUAGACCCGAAACCCGGUGAUCUAGCCAUGGGCAGGUUGAAGGUUGGGUAACACUAACUGGAGGACCGAACCGACUAAUGUUGAAAAAUUAGCGGAUGACCUGUGGCUGGGGGUGAAAGGCCAAUCAAACCGGGAGAUAGCUGGUUCUCCCCGAAAGCUAUUUAGGUAGCGCCUCGUGAAUUCAUCUCCGGGGGUAGAGCACUGUUUCGGCUAGGGGGCCAUCCCGGCUUACCAACCCGAUGCAAACUGCGAAUACCGGAGAAUGUUAUCACGGGAGACACACGGCGGGUGCUAACGUCCGUCGUGAAGAGGGAAACAACCCAGACCGCCAGCUAAGGUCCCAAAGUCAUGGUUAAGUGGGAAACGAUGUGGGAAGGCCCAGACAGCCAGGAUGUUGGCUUAGAAGCAGCCAUCAUUUAAAGAAAGCGUAAUAGCUCACUGGUCGAGUCGGCCUGCGCGGAAGAUGUAACGGGGCUAAACCAUGCACCGAAGCUGCGGCAGCGACGCUGAUGCGUUGUUGGGUAGGGGAGCGUUCUGUAAGCCUGUGAAGGUGGCCUGUGAGGGUUGCUGGAGGUAUCAGAAGUGCGAAUGCUGACAUAAGUAACGAUAAAGCGGGUGAAAAGCCCGCUCGCCGGAAGACCAAGGGUUCCUGUCCAACGUUAAUCGGGGCAGGGUGAGUCGACCCCUAAGGCGAGGCCGAAAGGCGUAGUCGAUGGGAAACGGGUUAAUAUUCCCGUACUUGGUGUUACUGCGAAGGGGGGACGGAGAAGGCUAUGUUGGCCGGGCGACGGUUGUCCCGGUUUAAGCGUGUAGGUGUGUGUUCCAGGUAAAUCCGGUUCACUUUAACACUGAGGCGUGACGACGAGGCACUACGGUGCUGAAGCAACAAAUGCCCUGCUUCCAGGAAAAGCCUCUAAGCAUCAGGUAACAUCAAAUCGUACCCCAAACCGACACAGGUGGUCAGGUAGAGAAUACCAAGGCGCUUGAGAGAACUCGGGUGAAGGAACUAGGCAAAAUGGUGCCGUAACUUCGGGAGAAGGCACGCUGACACGUAGGUGAAGUGAUUUACUCAUGGAGCUGAAGUCAGUCGAAGAUACCAGCUGGCUGCAACUGUUUAUUAAAAACACAGCACUGUGCAAACACGAAAGUGGACGUAUACGGUGUGACGCCUGCCCGGUGCCGGAAGGUUAAUUGAUGGGGUCAGCGCAAGCGAAGCUCCUGAUCGAAGCCCCGGUAAACGGCGGCCGUAACUAUAACGGUCCUAAGGUAGCGAAAUUCCUUGUCGGGUAAGUUCCGACCUGCACGAAUGGCGUAAUGAUGGCCAGGCUGUCUCCACCCGAGACUCAGUGAAAUUGAACUCGCUGUGAAGAUGCAGUGUACCCGCGGCAAGACGGAAAGACCCCGUGAACCUUUACUAUAGCUUGACACUGAACAUUGAGCCUUGAUGUGUAGGAUAGGUGGGAGGCUUUGAAGUGUGGACGCCAGUCUGCAUGGAGCCGACCUUGAAAUACCACCCUUUAAUGUUUGAUGUUCUAACGUGGACCCGUUACCCGGGUUGCGGACAGUGUCUGGUGGGUAGUUUGACUGGGGCGGUCUCCUCCUAAAGAGUAACGGAGGAGCACGAAGGUUGGCUAAUCCUGGUCGGACAUCAGGAGGUUAGUGCAAUGGCAUAAGCCAGCUUGACUGCGAGCGUGACGGCGCGAGCAGGUGCGAAAGCAGGUCAUAGUGAUCCGGUGGUUCUGAAUGGAAGGGCCAUCGCUCAACGGAUAAAAGGUACUCCGGGGAUAACAGGCUGAUACCGCCCAAGAGUUCAUAUCGACGGCGGUGUUUGGCACCUCGAUGUCGGCUCAUCACAUCCUGGGGCUGAAGUAGGUCCCAAGGGUAUGGCUGUUCGCCAUUUAAAGUGGUACGCGAGCUGGGUUUAGAACGUCGUGAGACAGUUCGGUCCCUAUCUGCCGUGGGCGCUGGAGAACUGAGGGGGGCUGCUCCUAGUACGAGAGGACCGGAGUGGACGCAUCACUGGUGUUCGGGUUGUCAUGCCAAUGGCACUGCCCGGUAGCUAAAUGCGGAAGAGAUAAGUGCUGAAAGCAUCUAAGCACGAAACUUGCCCCGAGAUGAGUUCUCCCUGAGACUUAGAGUCUCCUGAAGGAACGUUGAAGACGACGACGUUGAUAGGCCGGGUGUGUAAGCGCAGCGAUGCGUUGAGCUAACCGGUACUAAUGAACCGUGAGGCUUAACCUUACAACGCCGAAG